rnacentral:rRNA from 1 species
UACGAAGGGGGCUAGCGUUGCUCGGAAUCACUGGGCGUAAAGGGUGCGUAGGCGGGUCUUUUAAGUCAGAGGUGAAAUCCUGGAGCUCAACUCCAGAACUGCCUUUGAUACUGAGGAUCUUGAGUUCGGGAGAGGUGAGUGGAACUGCGAGUGUAGAGGUGAAAUUCGUAGAUAUUCGCAAGAACACCGGUGGCGAAGGCGGCCAACUGGACCAGUACUGACGCUGAGGCGCGAAAGGCGUGGGGAGCAAACAGG